rnacentral:rRNA from 1 species
AUUAUUGAGAAUUUGAUCUUGGUUCAGAUUGAAUGCUGACAGCGUGGAUGAGGCAUGCAAGUCGAACGGAAGUUGUACCUUCGGGUGUAACUUUAGUGGCGAAAGGGUUAGUAAUACAUGGAUAAUCUACCUUUAACCUGGGGAUAACGGCUGGAAACGGCCGCUAAUACCGAAUGAGGUUAUAUAAUUAAUUUAUAUAUAUCAAAGUUGGGGACCUUCGGGCCUAGCGGUUAAAGAGGAGUUCAUGGGAUAUCAGCUAGUUGGUGAGGUAAAAGCUCACCAAGGCUAAGACGUCUAGGCGGAUUGAGAGAUUGACCGCCAACACUGGGACUGAGACACUGCCCAGACUCCUACGGGAGGCUGCAGUCGAGAAUCUUUCGCAAUGGGCGAAAGCCUGACGAAGCGACGCUGUGUGAAUGAAGAAGGCCCUCGGGUUGUAAAGUUCUUUCGCUUGGGAGCAAGGAAUAAUUAUGAAUAAUAAUUAAACUUGAGUUAACCAGGUAAAGAAGCACCGGCUAACUCCGUGCCAGCAGCUGCGGUAAUACGGAGGGUGCAAGCAUUAAUCGGAUUUACUGGGCGUAAAGGGCGCGUAGGCUGAAUAGUAAGUCAUUAGAUGAAAUUCCAAGGCUCAACCUUGGAGCUGUCUGUGAAACUGCUAAUCUAAGAGGUAAGACGGAGAAAACGGAAUUCCACGUGUAGCGGUGAAAUGCGUAGAUAUGUGGAAGAACACCGGUGGCGAAAGCGGUUUUCUAGUUUUAACCUGACGCUGAGGCGCGAAAGUGAGGGGAGCAAACAGGAUUAGAUACCCUGGUAGUCCUUGCCGUAAACGAUGUGUACUUGGUGUAUGUGGGCUCAACCCCAUGUGUGCCGUAGCUAACGCGUUAAGUACACCGCCUGGGGAGUACGCCCGCAAGGGUGAAACUCAAAAGAAUUGACGGGGGCCCGCACAAGCAGUGGAGCAUGUGGUUUAAUUCGAUGCAACGCGAAGAACCUUACCUGGUCUUGACAUGCAAUUGACGCUACUAGAAACAGUAGUUUCCUUCGGGACAGUUGCACAGAUGCUGCAUGGCUGUCGUCAGCUCGUGCCGUGAGGUGUUGGGUUAAGUCCCGCAACGAGCGCAACCUUUAUUCUUAGUUGCCAUCACGUCAUGGUGGGCACUCUAGGAAGACUGCCGGUGAUAAACUGGAGGAAGGAGGAGAUGACGUCAAGUCAGUAUGGCCCUUAUGCCUGGGGCUAC